rnacentral:rRNA from 1 species
AGAUUGAACGCUGGCGGCAGGCCUAACACAUGCAAGUCGAGCGCGAAAGGUUUUCGGACUGAGUAGAGCGGCGGACGGGUGAGUAACGCGUGGGAAUCUGCCUGGUAGUGGGGGACAACGUUCCGAAGGGAACGCUAAUACCGCAUACGCCCUACGGGGGGAAAGGGGGGAUCUUCGGACCUCUCGCUAUCAGAUGAGCCCGCGUCGGAUUAGCUAGUUGGUAGGGUAAAGCCUACCAAGGCGACGAUCCGUAACUGGUCUGAGAGGAUGAUCAGUCACACUGGAACUGAGACACGGUCCAGACU